UAGCACUAGAGACUGAAGUCCUAUAUUUAUUCCCAGAACAGAUAUAGCAUGGGUAGCAGUAGUUGCAAGCCUCUUUCAUGCUGCCCUGACAGUGUUCCUCAAAUCCCACCUAAGGGACCACAUUUAGGAAUGAGAACAUAAUUCAAGUCUUUAUGGCCUCUCCAAAACUGCU
rnacentral:sRNA from 1 species